GACGAACGCUGGCGGCGUGCUUAACACAUGCAAGUCGAGCGGUAAGGCCUCUUCGGGGGUCCCCGAGCGGCGAACGGGUGGGUAACAUGCCGGUGACCUGCCCUCAGCUCUGGGAUAAGCCUGGGAAACUGGGUUUAUUACCGGAUAUGAACUUUUUUUGCAUGGGGUUUGGUGGAAAGUUUUUUUGGCUGGGGAUGGGCCCGCGGCCGUUCCGCUUGUUGGUGGGGUGAUGGCCUACCAAGGCGACGACGGGACGCCGGCCCGGGGGGGCGACCGAGCACACUGGGACCGGGGCACGGCCCAGACUCCUACGGGAGGGAGCAGGGGGGAAUAUUGCGAAAUGGGCGGAAACCUGACGCAGCGAAGGCGCGGGGGGGAUGGCAGGCUUCGGGUUGGAAACGUCUUUCGACCCCGGCUGAUUUGGACGGUAGGGGGAGAAGAAGCACCGGCCAACUACGUG
rnacentral:rRNA from 1 species